rnacentral:rRNA from 1 species
UAGUCUUUUAAUUGAAGGCUGGUAUGAACGGUUGGACGAAGUAUAAGCUGUUUCAUAUAAAUUUAAUAUAGAAUUUUAUAUUUUAGUUAAAAAGCUAAAAUUUUAUUAAAAGACGAGAAGACCCUAUAAAUCUUUAUAUUUAAUUUAAAUUAAGUUUUUUAGAUUUAUUUUAUUUUUUUUUUAUUAAGUAUUUUGUUGGGGUGAUGUUAAAAUUUAAUGAACUUUUAAUUUAUGAACAGACAUUAAUUUAUGACUUAUUCAUCAAUUAAUAAUGAUCAUAAGAUUAAGUUACUUUACGGAUAACAGCG